AAUUUGGCGGUGUUUUAUUCUAGUUAGAGGAACUUGUCCCUUAAUCGAUAAUCCUCGUUUUAUCUUUCUUAUUUUUGUAUUCAGUAUGUAUAUCGCUGUUAUAAGUUUAUUUUAUUAGAAUAAUUAAUUUACUAUACUUUUAAUUUUAAAUUAUUUCAAGUCAAGGUGCAGUUUAUAGAUAAGUGGAGAUGAGUUACAAUAUUUUUGGUAUAUGAAUUUUAUUUUUAAAAUAUAGAUGAAAGUGGAUUUAAUAGUAAUUUUAAUUAUAUAGUUAUAGUGAUUUUAGCUCUAAAAUAAGUACACAUCGCCCGA
rnacentral:rRNA from 1 species